CAAAUAAUCACUUAUAAGUUUAUAGUCUGAAACAUAUGAUGCAUUAUGGACUGCCCAACUUGGACCAAAUCCAAAGCAAAUCUACAUAUACCUGACCUAAUGAAUCCACAAGGUGUGCUUUAUUCUUGUUCUUAACUUUUGUUCUUCUGCCAAUGCAGUAUAGUUGAGUGGAAAAUAGUAUUGAUUUGCAGGUCAGCGGUCUCAGGUUCUAACUCCAAUAACAUUGUGAUAGUGUGUGUGUAAGAAACCUCAUUUUCCUUGUAAUUUAGACUAUCGCUUAUAUUACCAAAAAAAAAAAAAAAAACUUCCGUUCUUCCAGAGCAUAUGAAUAAUGUAAUUUAUGCCUUUUAACCUCUCAAGGAUUACAGAAGAAGGUGAGCCGUAAAGAGAGAAAAGCAAAAGGAAAAACACACAUUUUGAUUUCCCUACCCACAAGAAUUAACAGUAAACUCUCUAAUUUUAUAUUCCAAGGUGAAAACGUGAGAUUCAUGGUCAAUGAUUAUAGCCACUGCUAGCAACCUUUUUUUAAGGAUCAAAAUUAAUUAACUCUUCGUCCAGUUUUAUUUAUCUUCUCAACGUUCAAAUCUUUUCCUAUUAAUAAAAAGAAAAGGAUCAAAUAAUAACACCCCAAAGUUCAAGGGGCAUCAUGUAUUUGACCAAAUUUUUAAUACUUUUUAGAUGACGAGAGUAGAAUUCAUAUUGUAGGAGUAACAAGUAUUCU
rnacentral:lncRNA from 1 species